GCUCAGUAACACGUGGCUAACCUGCCCUUGGGACGGAAAUAUCCCCGGGAAACUGGGGUCAAUUUCCGAUAGGCGAAGAACUCUGGAACGAGUCUUCACCCAAAAGACGUUUAGGGCAUGCUCCUAGACGUUGCCCAAGGAUGGGGCCGCGGCCGAUCAGGUUGUUGGUGAGGUAACGGCUCACCAAGCCUAUUACCGGUACGGGCCGUGGGAGCGGUAGCCCGGAGAUGGGCACUGAGACAAGGGCCCAGGCCCUACGGGGCGCAGCAGUCGCGAAAACUUCGCAAUAAGCGAAAGCUUGACGGGGCUAUCCCGAGUGCCAUCUGCUGAAGAUGGCUUUUACCUAGUAUAGAUAGCUAGGGGAAUAAGGAGAGGGCAAGUCUGGUGUCAGCCGCCGCGGUAAUACCAGCUCUCCGAGUUGUGGGGAUAUUUAUUGGGCCUAAAGCAUCCGUAGCCGGCUGAACAAGUCCCCUGUUAAACCCAGCGACUAAUCGUUGGUCUGCGGGGGAUACUGUUCGGCUAGGGGGCGGGAGAGGCCGUCGGUAUUCCUGGGGUAGGGGUGAAAUCCUAUAAUCCCAGGAGGACCACCAGUGGCGAAGGCUGUCGGCUAGAACGCGCCCGACGGUGAGGGAUGAAAGCUGGGGGAGCGAACCGGAUUAGAUACCCGGGUAGUCCCAGCUGUAAACGAUGCAGGCUAGGUGUUAGGGCGGCUACGUGCCGCUCUAGUGCCGCAGGGAAGCUGUUAAGCCUGCCGCCUGGGGAGUACGGCCGCAAGGCUGAAACUUAAAGGAAUUGGCGGGGGAGCAC
rnacentral:rRNA from 1 species